UAAAAUUGUUAUGGAUAUCAUAAGGAAUUUGCUCUUAAAUUAUCACUAGACUUUUAAUUAACUUGUUUUUUAAAUUACCACAUAUAUUCAGAACUGAUAAAAAUAAAUAGUUGUUUCAUAUGAUUAGGUUUUCUUGGAUCUAACAUGCACGCCUAUCCCUGUGUUAUGAAUACAAAUGUUAUGAAUAACUUUCGCUGCUUCGCUAAAAUGUUAUGACGUCAUCAGUAUGCGCCUACCAUCAAGCUACGUUACCUUAGCAUUCAGUGAGGAGCUGGCAAAGUGAAAACAAGAACAUGUUGAACAUUAAAGUUGCUGUGGUCCUGAUGAUAUUGCUUGCAACAGCCACUUCGUUCAUGUUGAUGAACAGAGCGGGACAUCUAGAGAAACGUGAUGAUUGGUGCCGGGGACAGUGGCAGGAAUGUGUAUAUACCCAGUUACCCUGUUGCGAUGGAUACUACUGCAGUAAAUAUGCUCAAGUUUGUUUUCCAAACGUAAAAUAAAGUUCUAGAUUUCUAUUGGAAGAUUUUUGGCAUCAAACAAGACCCAAGACCGCUAUCCUCUUCUGUGU